AUGCGUGCUAGCACCACAAAUUAAUAGCUUGUCAGAUCCAUGUUGGGAUAUGUGGCUUUAACGUCCUUGAGAGCAUGUAAAGACAAUGGCUGUACUAUAGUGAUACUAUACUCAAGUAGAAAUGUGGUCCAUAUGAGGGACAUACUUUGUAGUGCCUUUUGACUCACCGGGCUGGGCAGUCUAGGCUUAAAAACGGAGUCCAAAACUCUUAAGACUUGAGCAUUAGGUACAAUCACGUAGUUUGCUCUCUUCCUCUCCUCUAUACAUGGAGACAAUUG
rnacentral:lncRNA from 1 species